rnacentral:rRNA from 1 species
GGGAAACUUGUGCUAAUACCGUAUGUGUCCUUCGGGAGAAAGAUUUAUCGGCAAGAGAUGAGCCCGCGUUGGAUUAGCUAGUUGGUGGGGUAAAGGCCUACCAAGGCGACGAUCCAUAGCUGGUCUGAGAGGAUGAUCAGCCACAUUGGGACUGAGACACGGCCCAAACUCCUACGGGAGGCAGCAGUGGGGAAUAUUGGACAAUGGGCGCAAGCCUGAUCCAGCCAUGCCGCGUGAGUGAUGAAGGCCCUAGGGUUGUAAAGCUCUUUCACCGGAGAAGAUAAUGACGGUAUCCGGAGAAGAAGCCCCGGCUAACUUCGUGCCAGCAGCCGCGGUAAUACGAAGGGGGCUAGCGUUGUUCGGAAUUACUGGGCGUAAAGCGCACGUAGGCGGAUCGAUCAGUCAGGGGUGAAAUCCCAGGGCUCAACCCUGGAACUGCCUUUGAUACUGUCGAUCUGGAGUAUGGAAGAGGUGAGUGGAAUUCCGAGUGUAGAGGUGAAAUUCGUAGAUAUUCGGAGGAACACCAGUGGCGAAGGCGGCUCACUGGUCCAUUACUGACGCUGAGGUGCGAAAGC